GUGGGGAAUAUUGGACAAUGGGCGAAAGCCUGAUCCAGCAAUACCGCGUGAAUGAUGAAGGCCUUAGGGUUGUAAAGUUCUUUUAGUUGGAAAGAUAAUGACGGUACCAACAGAAAAAGCCCCGGCUAACUCCGUGCCAGCAGCCGCGGUAAGACGGAGGGGGCUAGCGUUGUUCGGAAUUACUGGGCGUAAAGGGCGCGUAGGCGGAUUAGUAAGUUGGGAGUGAAAGCCCGGGGCUUAACCUCGGAACUGCUUUCAAAACUGCUAGUCUUGAGUGAAGUAGGGGAUGAUGGAAUUCCUAGUGUAGAGGUGAAAUUCUUAGAUAUUAGGAGGAACACCGGUGGCGAAGGCGGUCAUCUGGACUUCAACUGACGCUGAGGCGCGAAAGCGUGGGGAGCAAACAGGAUUAGAAACCCCAGUAGUCC
rnacentral:rRNA from 1 species